CGCACAUUGCACCUUUUGGUAUUCCGAAAGGUAUGCUUGUUCGAGCGUCGUUUAAAUAAUAUCAAUUUAAUUAUUGAUGUAAUUGAGUCUGACAGCGAGAUAAAAAAAAGAUUUAUUUCUUUUCUUGUCUUUUCUGACUACUCCAAAAGGAUAAAGAUAGCGAUCUGGAAUUGAUAUAGAUUGAACGCAUUAAAGUUUAUACUACGUGCAAAUAAUAUUGUUCCUGGGUCAGCCAAAUUUAAAAUUUAAAGAUAUUGUAAUUAAUAUUUUUAUUUACAUCCCAUAUUAUCGACCUCGAAUCAAGUAGGAUUACCCGCUGAACUUAA
rnacentral:misc_RNA from 1 species